GCGAAUAUUUGACGUCUAACCCAUCGCGACUGAUUAAUUCCAUUUUAGUUUGUGUUUUAACGCGACCAAAAGUUCGUAUUUGAAAAUUAAAGCUGAAAUCAUUUGUUAUUUGAAAUGGUAAAUUUCUAUGAAAAACAGAAAGCAUGUCUUUUGCGUCUUUGGAAAGACGUUUAACCAGCACAGAAUGCAAUAAAUUUGACAAACCCGCAUCGAUUUUUUUGUAACAAAUUGACAACAACAUUACAUCAUCUCUGAAUAUGCUACAUUGGAUGAAAAACUUGAAGAAUCAAGAUUGUUUUGCUUGUGGACGCCAAAAUGUUUUAUACAUUAAAUUUGGAAGUUUACGUUGGACAACAACCAGAGGGAUCCUACCAGCUGAGUAAUGACACAAGGAGUAUUAUCUUACGAAUGAUUCUACAUCUUCUGGAACGGGAAAAAAUAUUACGUCUGAUAACUGGUUUACCAGCUACGAACUCGUGGAUGUUUUAUUUCUAGAUCAUAGGCUAAGGCUUGUUGGCUUAAAAACAGAAGAGUCUGGUGUCUUAUGUACCAAGAAAGAA